CAAUUAUUCGGAAAUUUUGGCCUGGUCCAGCACUUGAACGUAAUGGGAGCCAUCAAUCCUUGCCACCUAUAAAAUAUUUGCAUUUACAUGAAUGUGACUCCUUCUCUGUUCGUGUCGCAUCUGUAGAAGCACUAGGGCAGAUGGUUGGUCUCAUAACACGAGUACAGUUAAAGACUUCCCUACCAAGGCUUAUCCCUACAAUAUUGGACUUGUGGGCUUUGAGAUGAUUGAUGCAUUUGCUGAGUCUUAGGGGAUUCCUAUGAACACUUCCUAUUCCAAAGCCAUUUUCGGAAAAGGUUUG